rnacentral:rRNA from 1 species
UACGGAGGGUGCAAGCGUUAUCCGGAUUCACUGGGUUUAAAGGGUGCGUAGGUGGGUUGGUAAGUCAGUGGUGAAAGCCCCGAGCUUAACUUGGGAAUUGCGCUUGUGACUGGCGUGCUGGAGUGUGGCAGAGGGAGGUGGAAUUCCACGUGUAGCAGUGAAAUGCGUAGAGAUGUGGAGGAACACCGAUGGCGAAGGCAGCCUCCUGGGCCAGCACUGACGCUCAUGCACGAAAGCGUGGGGAGCAAACAGG